rnacentral:rRNA from 1 species
GAUGAACGCUGGCGGCGUGCCUAAUACAUGCAAGUCGAGCGAACAGACGAGGAGCUUGCUCCUCUGACGUUAGCGGCGGACGGGUGAGUAACACGUGGAUAACCUACCUAUAAGACUGGGAUAACUUCGGGAAACCGGAGCUAAUACCGGAUAAUAUAUUGAACCGCAUGGUUCAAUAGUGAAAGACGGUUUUGCUGUCACUUAUAGAUGGAUCCGCGCCGCAUUAGCUAGUUGGUAAGGUAACGGCUUACCAAGGCGACGAUGCGUAGCCGACCUGAGAGGGUGAUCGGCCACACUGAAACUGAGACACGGUCCAGACUCCUACGGGAGGCAGCAGUAGGAAAUCGUCCGCAAUGGGCGAAAGCCUGACGGAGCAACGCCGCGUGGGUGAUGAAGGUCUUCGGAUCGUAAAACUCUGUUAUUAGGGAAGAACAAAUGUGUAAGUAACUAUGCACGUCUUGACGGUACCUAAUCAGAAAGCCACGGCUAACUACG